rnacentral:misc_RNA from 1 species
AUCUCUGCUAUUGUCAAGUUCUCCACCAACUGGGCUAGAGUUGAGUAAGCCACUGUCAAAGAAUCCGUAGAUCUCUCUCCGUCUAUUUGAGUUUCACAAGGAGUAAUGGCAGAUGAGGGAGCCGCUGAAGUCACUGCUCCAGUUCGUCGUGUUCUUCUCAUUUCCGCUGGUGCUUCUCAUUCCGUCGCUCUCCUCUCUGCAAACAUUGUUUGUUCUUGGGGACGUGGAGAAGAUGGGCAGUUAGGCCAUGGUGAUGCUGAGGAUCGACUUUCUCCGACAAAAUUGAGUACAUUGGAUGGUCUUGAAAUUGUUUCUGUUAUUUGUGGUGCUGAUCAUACAAUUGCAUAUUCUGAGUCACAUGCGAAUGUUUAUAGUUGGGGAUGGGGAGAUUUUGGUAGGUUGGGCCAUGGAAAUUCCAGUGAUUUAUUCACUCCUCAACCAAUUGGAGCAUUACAUGGUUUAAGGAUAAAACAAAUUGCUUGUGGGGACAGCCAUUGUUUGGCAGUGACAAUGGAAGGCCAGGUGCAGAGUUGGGGGCGAAAUCAAAAUGGCCAGCUUGGUCUUGGGACCACUGAAGAUUCUCUUGUGCCUCAGAAAAUUCAAGCCUUCCAGGGAAUCCCAAUUAAAAUGGUCGCAGCUGGUGCUGAACAUACUGCAGCUGUUGCAGAAGGUGGAGAGCUUUAUGGAUGGGGUUGGGGCCGAUAUGGGAAUUUGGGCUUGGGUGACAGAAAGGAUCGAUUGGUGCCUGAGAAAGUUUCUCUCCCUCAUGGAGAGAAGAUGGUUAUGGUUGCUUGUGGAUGGCGGCAUACAAUAUCUGUUUCCUCUUCUGGUGGAUUAUACACAUAUGGAUGGAGUAAAUAUGGUCAGUUAGGACAUGGGGAUUUCGCCGAUCACCUCAUUCCGCAUCAACUGGAAGCAUUGCGGGAUAGUUUUAUAUCUCAGAUAUCAGGCGGUUGGAGACACACUAUGGCAGUGACAUCUGAUGGAAGACUGUAUGGCUGGGGAUGGAAUAAGUUUGGACAGGUCGGAGUUGGUGACAAUGUGGACCAUUGUUCUCCUGUGCAAGUUAAAUUUCCUAAUGAGCAGAAAGUGAUUCAGAUCGCAUGUGGAUGGAGGCACACACUUGCUGUUACGGAACAGCAAAAUGUAUUUUCUUGGGGAAGAGGUACAAAUGGACAGCUUGGCCAUGGAGAGUCUGUUGACCGGAACGUACCGAUGAUGAUAGAAGCUUUAAGUGUUGAUGGAUCUGGUUGCCAGCAGAUAGAAUCCUCAACGGUUGAUUUGUCAUCAGGGAAAGCCUGGGUGUCACCAUCAGAAAGAUAUGCUGUCGUUCCUGAUGAAUCGGGGCAAACCGGUGGUUCAGGCAAUGGGAAUGAUGCAAGUGUUCCGGAGGGUGAUGUUAAGCGGAUCCGAAUUUGAUCCCAAUUGCCAAGACUGAAUGUAAAUUCCUACUGCGUCCAGACUGUCUUUUGCUCUUGUUAACUAACAUUGUGUUGGUUUUUUUUUUUUUUGGAGCAAUGUGUUGGUGCUUGGUUUACACAGGCUUUUUUCUAUUAUUUUAGAUUUUUAGUUUUUUUUUCUGGGCCC